ACCGAGACUAAGAAAAAAGGUCCGCACUUUUGGGCUUCCAUAUCUUUCCCAGCUCCUCUCAUUUACUAUGGAUGCUGGCAAGAAAUGGCAGUCUAGAUGUGCAAAAUCCUGCAACUCUCUCUCUCGU
rnacentral:pre_miRNA from 14 species